AGACAGUACGGUAACGGUAUGUGGACAAGCGAGGUAGAGAGUUACUGAAGAGAGAGAAAGCCAGGCAGCAUUAUAACAAAGCAGUAAAUCAGAGAAAUAAAAUGUUGUUUUCAUCGAUUUAUCACUUGAAAUGCGACUGUAGCAAGUAUCUCACUAUCAUUAAAGUUACCCAAAUUCAUAUUUAGUAACAACAAAUACUACAUCCAGCUACAAAAAAGCGGAAAAGUCGAAAGUUAGACUGAAGUACAAAGAGUCAUUGACUAUGAAGAUGAUACACCGUCUUGUCUCUUCUCAAUGGUUUAGACUGGCAGCUUUCAGAAUGCUGCAGACCGACGUGCUGAAAGCAUU